UCGACCUGAGAUCGGACGAGAUUACCCGCUGAAUUUAAGCAUAUGACUAAGCGGAGGAGGAGAAACUAACAAGGAUUCCCUCAG
rnacentral:rRNA from 1 species